rnacentral:rRNA from 1 species
GUUAAAAAGCUUCGUAGUUGGAUUUCUGUCGGUGAGUGUCAGUCCGCCCACAGCGGUAGGUACGUGAUGCGCCACCGGCAUCUUCCUGGGGAAUGUGUCUGCUCUUUAUUGAGUGGUACAUAAGCCAGGACUUUUACUUUGAAGAAAUGAGAGUGUUUCAAGCAGGCAUGCGCCGUGAAUACGUUAGCAUGGGAUAAUAGCAUCGGACCUCGUUCCAAAGCUGUUGGUUUCUUGGACCGAGGUAAAGGUGAAUAGGGAUUGUUGGGGGCAUUCGUAUUUGACUGUCAGAGGUGAAAUUCUUGGAUUUGUUGAAGACGGACUACUGCGAAAGCAUCUGCCAAAGAUGUUCUCAUUGAUCAAGAACGAAAGUUAGGUGAUCGAAGACGAUCAGAUACCGUCCCAGUCUUAACCAUAAACUAUGCCGACUGGAGAUCGGGGGUCGUUAAUUAUGUGACGCCCUCUGCAUCUUGAGAGAAAUCAAAGUCUUUGGGUUCCGGGGGGAGUAUGGUCGCAAGGCUGAAACUUAAAGGAAUUGACGGAAGGGCACCACCAGGAGUGGAGCCUGCGGCUUAAUUUGACUCAACACGGGGAAACUUACCAGGUCCAGACAUAGUAAGGAUUGACAGACUGAUAGCUCUUUCGAGAUUCUAUGGGUGGUGGUGCAUGGCCGUUCUUAGUUGGUGGAGUGAUUUGUCUGGUUAAUUCCGU